rnacentral:misc_RNA from 1 species
AAGUCGUAACAAGGUUUCCGUAGGUGAACCUGCGGAAGGAUCAUUAACGAGUUUUGAAACGAGUUGUAGCUGGCCUUCCGAGGCAUGUGCACGCUCUGCUCAUCCACUCUACCCCUGUGCACUUACUGUAGGUUGGCGUGGGCUCCUUAACGGGGGCAUUCUGCCGGCCUAUGUAUACUACAAACACUUUAAAGUAUCAGAAUGUAAACGCGUCUAACGCAUCUAUAAUACAACUUUUAGCAACGGAUCUCUUGGCUCUC